GAAUGUGUCUCUGGUUCAUCCUCCUCCUCAGAUGGUCUGCAGGUGAAGUGUUCAGAGUCAGACUCAGACCUGAUCAUCAGAGUCGUGGUGAUUCUUCUGUUGAUGCUCCUGUUCACCCUCCCAAUGUACUACUACUGCAAGGCCCGGGCCAGAAGGGGCGCUAGAGAGAGGACCUCAGACGACCUGGAGUUACACCGGGUCAGAUCCAUGUGAGACCCGGACUUAGACCGGGUCAGAUCCAUGUGAGACCCGGACUUAGACCGGGUCAGAUCCAUGUGAGACCCGAUUUAGACUGGUUCAGAUCCAUGUGAGACCUGUGAGCUCCUGGAUGUUUAAUACAUUUGUGUAAAUACAGAAUGACUUUAAUCAUUUUACAUCUUCUGAUAUGUUUACUCACACCCUAGGGUCAGUCACAUUGUGCGGUCAGUCAUACUCUAGGGUCAGUCACACUCUAGGGUCAGUCACACCCUAGGGUCAGUCACAUUGUGGGGUCAAUCAUACUCUAGGGUCAGUCACACCCUAGCGUCAGUCACAUUGUGGGGUCAGUCACACUCUAGAUUCAGUCACACUCUAGGGUCAGUCACACUCUAGGGUCAGUCACACUCUAGGGUCAGUCACACUCUAGGGUCAGUCACACUUAGGUGGGGUCAGUCACACUCUAGAUUCAGUCACACCCUAGGGUCAGUCACACCCUAGGGUCAGACACACUCUAGGGUCAGUCACACUCUAGGAUCAGUCACACCCUAGAUUCAGUCACACCCUAGGGUCAGUCACACUCUAGGGUCAGUCACACUCUAGAUUCAGUCACACCCUAGAUUCAGUCACACCCUAGGGUCAGUCACACCCUAGGGUCAGACACACUCUAGGGUCAGUCACACUCUAGGAUCAGUCACACCCUAGGGUCAGUCACAUUGUGGGGUCAAUCAUACUCUAGAUUCAGUCACACUCUAGGGUCAGUCACACUCUAGGGUCAGUCACACUCUAGGGUCAGUCACACCCUAGGGUCAGUCACAUUGUGGGGUCAAUCAUACUCUAGGGUCAGUCACACCCUAGCGUCAGUCACAUUGUGGGGUCAGUCACACUCUAGAUUCAGUCACACUCUAGGGUCAGUCACACUCUAGGGUCAGUCACAUUGUGGGGUCAGUCACACUCUAGGUCAGUCACACUCUAGGGUCAGUCACAUUGUGGGGUCAGUCACACUCUGGGGUCAG